UCAGAGCAGUUGUUGGUCAUAGUUAU
rnacentral:piRNA from 1 species